rnacentral:rRNA from 1 species
CAGCCGCCGCGGUAACACGAAGGGUGCAAGCGUUAAUCGGAAUUACUGGGCGUAAAGCGUGCGUAGGCGGUUUGUUAAGUCUGCUGUGAAAUCCCCGGGCUCAGCCUGGGAAUGGCAGUGGAUACUGGCAAGCUAGAGUGUGUCGGAGGAUGGUGGAACUCCCGGUGUAGCGGUGAAAUGCGUAGAGAUGUGGAGGAACACCAGUGGCGAAGGCGACUCUCUGGUCUGUAACUGACGCUGAGGAGCGAAAGCGUGGGGAGCGAACAGGAUUAGAUACCCCGGUAGUCCCUGUCUCUUAUAC